ACGUAGGCAGCAAGCGUUGUUCGGAAUUACUGGGCGUAAAGAGUGCGUAGGCGGUUGGCUAAGUUUGGUGUGAAAUCUCCCGGCUCAACUGGGAGGGUGCGCCGAAAACUGGCCGGCUAGAGUGUGGGAGAGGUAAGUGGAAUUCCUGGUGUAGCGGUGAAAUGCGUAGAUAUCAGGAGGAACACCUGCGGUGUAGACGGCUUACUGGACCAUGACUGACGCUGAGGCACGAAAGCGUGGGGAGCAAACAG
rnacentral:rRNA from 1 species